CGCCCCCGCCAUAGGCAAAGAGAUACCUUGUUGUUGGUGCUGUUGUUCUUAGUCAGGGGCAGAACAGCUGACAGUCCUUUGUUCAUUGUGGCUUGAUGCCUGGCUUGGUGCCUAAAGCAGUUUUAUGCCUAGGACUCAUAA